rnacentral:rRNA from 1 species
GACGAACGCUGGCGGCGUGCUUAACACAUGCAAGUCGAACGGAAAGGCCCUGCUUUUGUGGGGUGCUCGAGUGGCGAACGGGUGAGUAACACGUGAGUAACCUGCCCUUGACUUUGGGAUAACUUCAGGAAACUGGGGCUAAUACCGGAUAGGAGCUCCUGCUGCGUGGUGGGGGUUGGAAAGUGUCGGCGGUGGGGUAUGGACUCGCGGCUUAUCAGCUGGUUGGUGAGGUAGUGGCUUACCAAGCUUUUGACGGGUAGCCGGCGUGAGAGGGUGACCGGCCACAUUGGGACUGAGAUACGGACCAGACUCCUACGGGAGGCAGCAGUGGAGAAUAUUGCACAAUGGGCGGAAGCCUGAUGCAGCAACGCCGCGUGCGGGAUAACGGCCUUCGGGUUGUAAACCGCUUUCGCCUGUGACGAAGCGUGAGUGACGGUAAUGGGUAAAGAAGCACCGGCUAACUACGUG